rnacentral:rRNA from 1 species
GAGUUUGAUCCUGGCUCAGAUUGAACGCUGGCGGCAGGCUUAACACAUGCAAGUCGAACGGUAACAUGAGUGCUUGCACUUGAUGACGAGUGGCGGACGGGUGAGUAAGGUAUGGGGAUCUGCCGAAUGGAGGGGGACAACAGUUGGAAACGACUGCUAAUACCGCAUAAAGUUGAGAGACCAAAGCAUGGGACUUACGGGCCAUGCGCCAUUCGAUGAGCCCAUAUGGGAUUAGCUAGUUGGUAGGGUAAUGGCUUACCAAGGCGACGAUCUCUAGCUGGUCUGAGAGGAUGACCAGCCACACUGGAACUGAGACACGGUCCAGACUCCUACGGGAGGCAGCAGUGGGGAAUAUUGCACAAUGGGGGGAACCCUGAUGCAGCCAUGCCGCGUGUAUGAAGAAGGCCUUCGGGUUGUAAAGUACUUUCGGUGAUGAGGAAGGUGGUGUAUCUAAUAGGUGCAUCAAUUGACGUUAAUUACAGAAGAAGCACCGGCUAACUCCGUGCCAGCAGCCGCGGUAAUACGGAGGGUGCGAGCGUUAAUCGGAAUGACUGGGCGUAAAGGGCAUGUAGGCGGAUAAUUAAGUUAGGUGUGAAAGCCCUGGGCUCAACCUAGGGAUUGCACUUAAAACUGGUUAACUAGAGUAUUGUAGAGGAAGGUAGAAUUCCACGUGUAGCGGUGAAAUGCGUAGAGAUGUGGAGGGAUACCGGUGGCGAAGGCGGCCUUCUGGACAGAUACUGACGCUGAGAUGCGAAAGCGUGGGGAGCAAACAGGAUUAGAUACCCUGGUAGUCCACGCUGUAAACGAUGUCGAUUUGGAGUUUGUUGCCUAGAGUGAUGGGCUCCGAAGCUAACGCGAUAAAUCGACCGCCUGGGGAGUACGGCCGCAAGGUUAAAACUCAAAUGAAUUGACGGGGGCCCGCACAAGCGGUGGAGCAUGUGGUUUUAUUCGAUGCAACGCGAAGGACCUUACCUGGUCUUGACAUCCACAGAAUCUUGCAGAGAUGCGAGAGUGCCUUCGGGAACUGUGAGACAGGUGCUGCAUGGCUGUCGUCAGCUCGUGUUGUGAAAUGUUGGGUUAAGUCCCGCAACGAGCGCAACCCUUAUCCUUUGUUGCCAUUGGUUAGGCCGGGAACUCAAAGGAGACUGCCGUUGAUAAAGCGGAGGAAGGUGGGGACGACGUCAAGUCAUCAUGGCCCUUACGACCAGGGCUACACACGUGCUACAAUGGCGUAUACAAAGGGAGGCGA